CUAGCGACUUCAGAGUUUGAUCCUGGCUCAGGAUGAACGCUAGCUACAGGCUUAACACAUGCAAGUCGAGGGGUUUCGAAGAGCUUGCUCCGAGAAACGACCGGCGCACGGGUGAGUAACGCGUAUCCAACCUGCCCUUCAUAUUGGGAUAGCCUUCCGAAAGGGAGAUUAAUACCGAAUAACAUGAGAAGAUUGCAUGAACCUCUCAUGAAAGCUCCGGCGAUGAAGGAUGGGGAUGCGUUCCAUUAGGUAGUAGGCGGGGUAACGGCCCACCUAGCCGACGAUGGAUAGGGGUUCUGAGAGGAAGGUCCCCCACACUGGAACUGAGACACGGUCCAG
rnacentral:rRNA from 1 species